rnacentral:snRNA from 1 species
AUUUUUUCUCGGCAUUUUGGCUAAGAUCAAAGUGUAGUAUCUGUUCUUAUCAGCUAUCUGAUAUGAGGACCAUGUGUCCUCUUCGAUAAUAAACUUGUUUCUGUUUAGGGGUAGAUGUGCGGCGCUUACACUGUCUUCACUACGAGUUUACUUGGAAUUGCAUGGGAGAUUAAGAGAACUACGAAUGC